UUCCGGUUGAUCCCGCCGGACCCCACUGCUAUCGAGAUGGGACUAAGGUAUGCUAGUCGAACGACCAGAACUAUGUCUGGGAGUGGCACACUGCUCAGUAACACGUAGCUAACCUACCCUUAGGACGUGGAUACCCCCGAGAAAUUGGGGUUAAUCCGCGAUAGAUGUAAUGUCCUGGAAUGGUAUUACGUCUAAAGGUAUUUCAUACAUGUUUGAAAUAUGCCUAAGGAUGGGGCUGCGGCCGAUCAGGCUGUUGGUGAGGUAAUGGCUCACCAAACCUUUGACCGGUACGGGCCAUGAGAGUGGUAGCCCGGAGAUGGACACUGAGACAAGGGUCCAGGCCCUAAGGGGCGCAGCAACCGCGAAACCUCCACAAUGCACUCACGUGCGAUGGGGCUAUCUCGAGUGCCACCUGAUGAAGGUGGCUUUUCCUAGGUCUUCAAAGCCUUGGGAAUAAGAGGGGGGCAAGACUGGUGUCAGCCGCCGCGGUAACACCAGCCCCUCGAGUGGUGGGGAUGAUUAUUUGGCCUAAAGCGUCCGUAGCCGGCCGAGCAAGUCUUCCGUUAAAUCCAGCGUCUCAAGCGUUGGACUGCGGGAGAUACUGCAGGGCUAGAGAGUGGGAGAGGUCAGCGGUAUUCUGGGGGUAGGGGCGAAAUCCUUUGAUCCCCGGAGGACCACCAGUGGCGAAGGCUGCUGACUAGAACACGUCUGACGGUCAGGGACGAAAGCUGGGGUAGCGAA
rnacentral:rRNA from 1 species